rnacentral:ncRNA from 1 species
UUAUUUGUUUUUAAUUUUACCGCCUCCUUUGGAGGAAGGUUUUUUAACUACACACAGCAGUGCCACACCUGUCAGUACUUCUGGUGCC